GGAAUACAUACAUUGCCCAAGAACUCAGAGCUGGUGUUUAUGAAGAGAUUGGUCUCACAUGCAGUGCUGGAGUGGCACCAAAUCGCUUACUUGCUAAGGUUCUGGGUACUAUCUCCCAAACAUUUUCCCCAUAGCUACGUUAUCAGCCCAUUUGUUGAAGGAGAAGCUUUAAAGCACCUUAUCAUUUUACAUUUAAGAUACUAACUCCUUUAGUAGAGAUGAAAUGAUUGUUUCAUCUUGCUGGGAAAUUUCAUGCUAUGGCUUUAUAAUAUUGACAUUUUACUCUCAUAUGGGUUUGUUCGGACAUAAACAAGCCAAAUAGACAGUAUGUUUUGCCAAAUGACCGCAUGGUUGUUAUGACCUUUGUAUCCUCCCUUCCUAUCAGAAAGAUUGGGGGCAUUGGUAAGGUCACUUCGGGUGAAUAUUUUGAAGGGAGUUUUUGGAAUUAACACAUGUGAGCAGAUGCUGGACAAGAGUAGCUACAUUUGUGCAUUUUUCUCUCGGUCAACAGCAGGCUUCACCUGUUCCGAUUCGGGGGCGUCAAGCUGUAGUUGAGAUAAAGAGAACUACUACCCGAGAUAAGACUUUCGGUAUAUUUACCCAUGAGUCAUCAGCAUAUGAACCACUAUGGUGUAUUUGAAGAGGAGCUUGCUGAAAUGCUAUCAGCUGACAUGCAAAAAGAGGGUCUGUGAGGGCAAACAUUGACUCUUAAACUAAAAACUGCUUCUUUUGAGGUUCGAAGUAGAGCUGUGACAUUACAGAAGACAUCAGCUCAAGAUUGGAGCACUCUGAUUUUCAUCUUGCCGAAAAGCUUCAAAAGGAAGAAUCUAGUAUUCACCAAAAAUCUGUUCCGAGUCAAAGGUUAUUAUUGAAAUACCUUUGUUCCUGAUUUUCUCAUUGGUUGUGGCUUAUAGAAGGUAGUACUCUGAUCUUUGUUGGUGUCAGUUUGAUUAAAUGAUGACAAACAUGGAAACAGGCCAUUGAUGCUACUGAUGCAUUUUUUAAAAAGCUUUAAAGCCUAGUCUGCUUCUGGACCUUUAAUGAGUUUGGUCUGUCAUCGAUAGAUUGAAGACAGUACUGUACUUGUUACCUUCCAAAAUUGAAACAAGAAAAUGGAUACGCCUAUUGAUCCAUCUGUUAAUAGUAUUGCUUCAUUAGAAACACAACAAGUUGCUAAUGACGCACAAAGCAAUCCGGUGGAAGAAGCAGAAAUUUUCCAAUUAUAGAAGUUGAAGAUGUUGAAAGAAGUCCAAAUAAAAGAGGAUUAACUUCUGCUGCUUGGACCCAUUUCAAAAGAAAGAAAAUAGAGGGAAAAUGGAAAGCUAUAUGUAAAUAUUGUGAAAAGAAACUUGAUGGUGAUACAAGAUCAGGUAUGAAGCAUUUGCACAACCACAUUAGAACCUAUAAGCUUCGAACAGUGAGGGGUCCAAAGCAAUCAAUACUAAAAACUCUUCAACAAUCAUCAUCUUCAGUAGGAGAUAGAGGCGAAUCUAGUUUAGUUGAAAACUAUACCUUUAAUCAAGAUGCUGCUAGGAUGGAAUUCACAAAGAUGAUUGCAUUGCAUGAAUACCCUCUUGCUAUGGUUGAUCACAUUGGGUUUCGAAGGUUUUGUAAUGCUGUUCAACCUUUGUACAAAGUAAUAUCCCGUAAUACAUUGAAGCUGGAUAUACUAAAGUUCUAUGAGAGUGAAAGAGUCAAAACUAUGAAGUUAAUUCAAACAAAUUCAAGUUGCAUAGCUAUAACAACGGACAUGUGGACUGCAUCGAAUUAAAACAAAGGCUAUAUGACUAUUACAGCCCAUUUCAUUGAUAACAAUUGGAAUUUGCAAAGUCAGCUUAUGAGAUUCCUUAAAAUCAAAGAUGGAAUUUUGCUUAAUAGUUGACGAUGCAGACACAACAACGCCAACGGUUUGAUGUUGAAGAUGUUUCAUUACACUUGGAUGAAAGUAUGAAGACUUGAUUCAAUAUGAUGAUGUUAAUUUAUUGUUUGAAGACUUGUAAUGUUAUGCUAGUUUUAUUGUUUUUAUUGUGUAAUAUUGUAACAUUAAUGAGUACUUGGA